GGGGCAAAAAGGAGUGGGUUUUCUUUUUUCAAGUUCUCACAGCUCUAAUAAGAUGGUUUUGGCAAAGGACUGCUUGCCAGUGUACUCUUGGCAACCGACUUAUUCCUCUAAGUUAGUAGGAACUGUAGGUAAAUUAUGAACAGACACGCAUCUUUAACCAAACUUCUGGUGGCUUAGCCUUGAGAUGUCAGCCUGCAACUGCUUGGAAGGGGACACAUCACAGUGGGAUAGCAUAACUACAGCAGAGAUUCCUCCUAGGUCUUGUGAGAGAGCAGUAGGAAAUGGAAGAGACUUUUUUUCCCUCCCAAGCAGGUGGCCAACAUGGAUGUUCAAAGGACACAAACUAUACACCACCGUAGUUCUGGCCACAUGCUACUCCUUGCACCUCUGACUCUCUCUUGGAACACUUGAAUUAUUCAGGACACAUGGCACAUCCCUGCACACAGGCAAGCCGUGUAGCAGCCCAGGGCAAACAAACUGAGGGCCUUUAGUGUGAGAAUGGCAGUUCUGUAGCUUUAAGAAGGAGCUGGUGCGCCCUGCAGCAGAAAAGCCUGUAGACUCAGCUGUGUUCUUACCUCACUUUCCCUUCUGCAGUGACCUCACCCUGCCACAAUGCUACUAUUCAUGCAGAUGGAGUGAAACGCUGCAUACAAAAGUUUCAUUUAGUCACAUCAACAUGAAUAUUUAGCCUGUUUGAUUAAAAAUGAAAGCUAGAU
rnacentral:lncRNA from 1 species